UACGUAGGGGGCAAGCGUUGUCCGGAAUCAUUGGGCGUAAAGAGCGUGUAGGCGGUCCGGUAAGUCGGCUGUGAAAGUCCAGGGCUCAACCCUGGGAUGCCGGUCGAUACUGCCGGACUAGAGUUCGGAAGAGGCGAGUGGAAUUCCUGGUGUAGCGGUGAAAUGCGCAGAUAUCAGGAAGAACACCCGUGGCUAAGGCGGUUCUCUAGUACGGUACUGACGCUGAGACGCGAAAGCGUGGGGAGGCGAACAGG
rnacentral:rRNA from 1 species